AGAGCUGGCUCCAGCAUACGGGUAAAUCACUCGACUUACUUCCACCCCUGCCUACAUCUUCCUCCACAGAGGCCCUGGCACCAGGGGAGGCAUGCCAGGAUGCGGGGGAGGGGCAUGGCUGGAGCAUGCUGGAGUUAUCUCCAGCUGGUAUAUAGUCUCUUGGGAGCCAGCUAGCCCGCCCCCAGGCUGCUCUAACCAAGACUGGGACAGAGAAUCAAGUCACUGUAAUUGGUUCAGUCCCCCUCCCCCAUCGGUAACCAGUUCUGAGUGGGGAUAUUAAACCCAAUCUGAAGCUGAGACCAGGGAAAACUCAAUUCUCAGUUGUUCUCCACCUCCAAGGCCCCAGAUGGAGGAAGAGCCGCACUGGAACUCACUGGCUGCAGCAGUGCUGUCCUGAAAGGAGGUCAGGGACGGAUAAGCUGGGAUAACAGAUUGGAACAGAGCCACAGCCUGGAACUCAUACGCAGCUGAAGAAGAAGGGGGCAGCCAUCAGGCUGAAGGGUGCACCGGCCCUUGGGAGAGGCAGGCUGAAUAGCUUCCACAAGGAGCCAUCACAC